AAUAACUCAUUUUGCAAUGGACAAUAUUACGUUAUCACAGAUUCUAUGGCAACACAAUUUGUAUCAAACCAAAUCCAAUGUAGCAAAAAUUGAAUUUUUCAAAUUCGUCUCUGGUAGAGAUAAUACAAUAUAGCAAACAUCUAAUAGAUCGACAAUACAAUAUAGCCAAAUAUCUAUCGGAUCAACAACCUUUACUGCCUAUGCCACAAACAAUAUGGUCCAGCAUCCAUUCAUGUUAGCAUGAACAUCAUCUACCAAAAACAGCAUCCAUUCAUGUUUGCAUAACCUGAAGAGGCAAUCCUAGC
rnacentral:lncRNA from 1 species